rnacentral:lncRNA from 1 species
CCAGGAAUGAAGCUGGAAAGCUGCUUUGUCCCCCGAGAAUAAUUUUUGAGACACUGCAGUCUGGUUCUCCUCAGAGUGGCAGUCCUUCCCUUUAUUAUGUGGACAUGGGUUCAAAGGGGCUGUGUGUAUCAGUGGAUGGAGAAGCGAUCUUAACCUCGCCCUGCAGCAGACAGUUAUGACACCCAGCAGGAGAGAGAGGGAAACAGGGACAGAGACGGAGAGGGCUGAGGACUGACUGAUGAGAGGAAGAGAGAAUCAACAUCACCUCUAUAUCCAGUCCUACUGGGUGAAGCUCUAUGAAGAUGCUGUCUGAGUGUGGCAGCAGUGUGUGGAGCUCCCUGUUGAUAUGGAGCUGGCGCUGUGAGCUGACAGUGGGGGAGAGAUGCCAGCGCCGGCGAUUAGCAUUAGCUUCCAGGGGGUGCCGCAAUGGCUGCUGGGAGAUUCCAUCAGAGGCACAAACCUGUCGCUUCGCCGUAAUGUGACAGCCCCCUGUGGCACAGCACAGCACAGUAAGAAGAGUGAAGAGUGAGCCUCAGCAUCUGCCGGCUGGAGAAGGAGGAGCGGUGGAGGUUUUCCUAGGGUUAAGAUGCUUCUGGUCGGCCUGAUAUGACGUUCACGUCUGGAUGCUCUGACCACUGCCUCUCACUGCCAGUCAGCCUUCCAGUCCUGUGGUCAUCCAGACCUUCAAACUCCUCUUCCUCAUCCUCUUUCUCCUUCCAGUCUGUCAACUCUGUGAAGAGUAGAGUUCAGUCAAGCCUUGUCUUAAACCAACUCUGUUGGCCCUUUUGUUUAACACUGGCUAGCCAGUGGCUAUACCAACUCUGUGGCACUGUGUGGUAAUACAGCUGCAGCUGGUCAGUUUGGAUCAGAUUACUCCCUGGACUGUGGGAGAUCAACACAACAGACAGGGAUUAACCAGUAGGAGGCUCUCUCUUCUAUGGACAACCCAAUGCUAUAACAGUGAGGUCAAGAGAGGAUUUCUACCAAUAUGUGAUUACUGGCUGUCCUGUUUCCAUAUGAGAGUUGAGCAAACAUGCACAGAAUAUAAGUAUACGAAUAAAUAGCAUGA